AUGGGAGGGGGUCCUGCAGGGCGCUCCGUCAGGAUGGGGCAGGAUCCGGUCUCCUUCCCUUGCCGAUUUUGGGGCCGUGGGUACCAGCGAGGGGAGGGCGCAAUGUGGGCUGGAAGCCACCCGAGCUGUGCCCACAUCCCUCAUCCCACUCCCCGUAUGGGGUGUGUGGGGGGCUUAAAACCUUGUCCCCAGAGCACCGGUGCCGUGGGGGGGCUGUGGGAGCGGCGCGGCGCGCUGACGCCCCUUCUCUCCGCAGGACACCCAGAAGGCGAAGCAGUUCCUGCCCUUCCUGCAGCGCGCCGGCCGCUCCGAGGCCGUGGUGGAGUACGUCUUCAGCGGGUCCCGCCUGAAGCUCUUCAUGCCCAAGGAGACCUGCCUCAUCACCUUCCUGCUGGCAGGUAUCGAGUGUCCCCGUGGAGCCAGGAACCUGCCGGGGCUGGUGCAGGAGGGGGAACCCUUCAGCGAGGAGGCCACGCACUUCACCAAGGAGCUGGUGCUGCAGCGGGAGGUAGGAGCGUGCGGCGCGGGCGCGGGCGCAGACGAUGGCAGAGGGUGCCAACUGCCUCGCCAAGGGGCUGCGGGCAGACGCAGCGGGUGGGGGCUUUCCAUGUCAUGGGAAUUGCCACAUUCAUGUGUCACCGAGUGUCCCUAUGGCCAGGUUUGGGUCUGGGCACAGCCAGGGGGAUGCAGGGGCUGCGGUGUCCGUGCUGUGUGCUAGGGGUGGACGGGAGCCCUGUGCCACCGCCGGUCACGGCACGCUGGUGCCACAGGAAUGGUGCUUUGUGUUGGAAGCCAAUGCGUAAAUUUGGGAGGUGGCGUCUCCCCAUGACCCCUAAAUCUCCUCUUGUGCCGGACGUUUCUCCCCACUGGGGCCAGGGUGGAAAAGCGCUCGCUUGCCUCUUCUUUUACCCUUUUUUUAUUUGCAUGGAAAGCAAUAACAAGAGAUAUUUGUGCUGGGCAUGGCACAGAGGGGGCUGCAUCCUGCAGGGUGCCAGCUGAGGGUGCUGAGUGUGCCCCAGAAAGACCGCAAAGGCCGUGGCCCCAAAAAGCACCUGGCAAUGACGCCUGCAAAAAAAAAGGAAAGCACAGAGAUGAUGCUUGCAGAAAGGGAAAGUGCAGAGGAAGCACGAAGCGGCACAGAGCACCCGCUGCGCUCCGAGGCUCCAGGCCAGUGCGGGGAGGAGAGGACAGGGCGAGGAGGAGGAAGGGCUCAGGCUGCGGGUGCCACGUGCAGAGGGGGUGACCCCAGCCCUGGGUGUCACCGUGCCCCCCUCCAGACUAAUGGGGAGCUGCUAGGGGAUGGUGUGCCGUGCUCAGUUUUCCUGCUGGGGUGGCACAGCCACGCUUCUGUCCUCUCCAUCCCAUGGCCAGCAGUGCUUCCAGCUCUGCAGCCUCCCCAGAGCCACCCAGGGGACAGCAGAAAGCACCGGGCACUGUGCUUGGCCUCGUCCCUGCCACCCGAUGUGUCCUCAGCGUGUGCAGGGGGGCA
rnacentral:lncRNA from 1 species